rnacentral:pre_miRNA from 1 species
UCUUAUAGAUGAGCAAAGGAAGUGGUUUCUCAGGAUGGAAUCUACUCCUGGUAACCACGUUGUGAA